GAGGGUAUAGCUCAAGUGGUAGAGCACAUGCCUAGCAUGCCUGAGAUCCUGGAUUCAAUCCCCAGUGCCUCUG
rnacentral:tRNA from 1 species